CCGUGCUAGAUGGGGAGUUAGCGGUGCCCUGUUGCCCGGAAUCCGCUAUACCGGGAUCGAAUCCCCACCUUAGAUCUUCUCCUCCGGGAGAGGGGAGAGGUAAGAGGUGAUGAAGGUCAGGUCUUGCGCAACUCAAGCUUACCUAACCCCGUCAGGACCGGAAGGUAGCAGCGGUAAGUAAAACCUUGAGUGUGCCGUAAGGCAGCCUGGCUGGAGCUUAACUGCCUUGUAACUUCCCCUGAUGAGGGAACAAGGGUGGGUGCACGG
rnacentral:SRP_RNA from 1 species